UACGGGGGGGGCAAACGUUGUUCGGAAUUACUGGGCGUAAAGGGCUCGUAGGCGGCCAACUCAGUCGGACGUGAAAUCCCUCGGCUUGACCGGGGAAUGGCGUCCGAUACUGGAUGGCUCGAGUUUGGGAGAGGGAUGCGGAAUUCCAGGUGUAGCGGUGAAAUGCGUAGAUAUCUGGAGGAACACCGGUGGCGAAGGCGGCAUCCUGGACCAACACUGACGCUGAGGAGCGAAAGCCAGGGGAGCAAACGGG
rnacentral:rRNA from 1 species